GAUGAACGCUAGCGGGAGGCCUAACACAUGCAAGCCGAGCGGUAUUUGUCUUUCGGGACAGAGAGAGCGGCGUACGGGUGCGGAACACGUGUGCAACCUGCCUUUAUCAGGGGGAUAGCCUUUCGAAAGGAAGAUUAAUACCCCAUAAUAUAUCUGAUGGCAUCAUUAGAUAUUGAAAACUCCGGUGGAUAGAGAUGGGCACGCGCAAGAUUAGAUAGUUGGUGAGGUAGCGGCUCACCAAGUCAGUGAUCUUUAGGGGGCCUGAGAGGUUGAUCCCCCACACUGGUACUGAGACACGGACCAGACUCCUACGGGAGGCAGCAGUGAGGAAUAUUGGACAAUGGGUGCGAGCCUGAUCCAGCCAUCCCGCGUGAAGGACGACGGUUCUAUGGAUUGUAAACUUCUUUUAUACUGGGAUAAACCUACUCUCGUGAGGGUAGCUGAAGGUACAGUAUGAAUAAGCACCGGCUAACUCCGUGCCAGCCGCCGCAGUAA
rnacentral:rRNA from 1 species